UUACUGGUAGGUUAUUAAAACUGACAAAUUGUGGUUUUGUUGAAUACACUUAUUUAUUUUUGUACCAGUAAA
rnacentral:tRNA from 1 species